UAGCGGUUACACAUGCGCAUGGUGGAUGCCUAGACUUGAGCAAGCGAUGAAGGACGUAGCAGGCUGCGAUAAGCCUCGGGGAGUCGCCAAGCAGACUUUGAUCCGGGGAUCUCCGAAUGGGACAACCCAGUUCCGCGCAAGCGGGAUUAUCACACAUCUGAAUACAUAGGGUGGUGAAGCACACCCUGGGAACUGAAACAUCUUAGUACCAGGAGGAACAGACAUCAAUAGAGAUUCCGUCAGUAGUGGCGAGCGAACGCGGAACAGCCUAAACCAAGUGCCUUCGGGCACUCGGGGUUGCGAGGUAUAUGGACUCGGUUGAACGGGGUCGCACAUGUUUUUUCUAGCGGAAUGGUCCUGGAAAGACCAACCAGAGAGAGUGAAAGUCUCGUACGCGAAAGAAACAAACAGGCGAUGCAUAUAUCCUCAAGUAGGGCGGGGCCGGAGAAACCCCGUCUGAAUCCGGGAGCACUAACUUCCAAGGCUAAAUAUUGCUCAAGAUCGAUAGUGAACAAGUACCGUGAGGGAAAGGUGAAAAGUAUCCCGGUGAGGGAGAUGAAAUAGUUUCUGAAACCAUGUCGCUAACGAAGAGUCGGAGCCUUGCCUUUACUGGUAGGGUGACGGCGUGCUUUUUGCAGAACGAGCCAACGAGUUUGCUCUACGUGGUCGCCUAAGGAACGAGAGUUCUGGAGGCGUAGUGAAAGCGAGCCUGAUAAGGGCGUUUAUGAUCGCGUGGACAAGACCCGAAGCCGGACGAGCUACAUAUGAGCAGGGUGAAGCGAAGGUAAAACUUCGUGGAGGCCCGAACCCACGAGCCGUGCAACACUCGGGGAUGACUUGUGUGUAGAGGAGAAAUUCCAAUCGAGUUCGGCGAUAGCUGGUUCUCUCCGAAAUAGCUUGAGGGCUAGCGUCGCGAAAUUAGGGUCGGGAGGUAGAGCUACUGGAUGAGAAUUCGCGGGCAACCGUAGACUUUUCAACCAAACUCCGAAUGCCCGAUACCCGUACCGCGGCAGUCAGAAAUCCGGGGCUAAGCUCGGAUUUCAAAAGGGAAACAGCCCAGAUCGUCAUCUAAGGUCCCCAAAUCUCUGUUCAGUGGAAAAGGAAGUGAAGUUUCUCGGACACCUAGGAGGUUGGCUUAGAAGCAGCCAUCCUUUAAAGAGUGCGUAAUAGCUCACUAGUCUAGAGACUUCGCGCCGAAAAUGUAACGGGGCUAAACAGAGUACCGAAGAUACGGGCUUGCAGACUUCACAAAGAAGAUUUUUGGAUCGGUAAUUCAAGAGGCUUAUAUGCGAAAGACAGAGAAAUUUCUGUUGGGGAUGCGUGUAAGUGCGAGAAUGCUUCCAUGAUGGAAGUUGAUGCAGGUUAAAAUCCUGUCCGGUCCGCCAAUUUCAUGUUAAGAGAAACCGCGUUUUCUCUUAACAUCUUUGUGAAGUCUGUAAGCGGUAGGAGAGCGUUCCUUGUGCGCUGAAGCUCGCACCGUGAGGUGGGGUGGAGUGCAGGGAAGUGAGAAUGUUGGCAUGAGUAACCGCAAUGUGCGUGAAAUCCGCACACACCGAAAGUCCAAGGUUUCCCGGGCAACGGCGAUCGUCCCGGGGUUAGUCGGUCCUAAGGCGAGGCCGAAAGGCGUAGUCGAUGGCAAAUCGGUUAAUAUUCCGAUACUAUAGAACGCAUUCGAUGGAGUGACGCAUUCUAGUAUUCUUCGCGCAUUAUUGGAUUUGUGUAGAAAUAUUGAGGGCGUUGGGUAGGUAAAUCCGCCCGACAUUCUCCCAAGAUAUUUCUGAACGUCCGGAUUUAUUCGGAUGAACGAAGAAAAGCAGGGUGCCAGGAAAAACUUCUAAGGUUCGUGCGUUCAUAACCGUACUAAAACCGACACAGGUGGACUGGGCGAGUAGCCCAAGGUGAACGGGAGAACCUUCGUUAAGGAACUCGGCAAAAAAGCUAGGCGUACGUUUGCAAUAUGCCUUGCCCAUCGCAAGAUGGGCCGCAGCGAAAGUUUCCCAAGCGACUGUUUACCAAAAACACAGGUCUCUGCAAACCCGCAAGGGGAAGUAUAGGGGCUGACGCCUGACCAGUGCUGGAACGUUAACGGGAGCGGUUCACGCCAAUCCCCGAAGCGCCAGUGAACGUCGGCGAUAACUAUAAUCGUCCUAAGGUAGCGAAAUUCCUUGUCAGGUAAAUUCUGACCCGCAUCAAAGGCGUAACGAUUUGGGAACUGUCUCAACGAAGGACCCGGUGAAAUCGCAGUGACGGUAAAGAUGCCGUCAACCUACAGCUAGACGAAAAGACCCCGUGGAGCUUUACUAUAACUUGGUAUUGAAUAGGAGUUGUGGUUGCCGAGAUUAGGUGGGAGGCUAUGAAGUCCCGAUUCUGGUCGGGAUGGAGCCAACAAGUGGAAUACCACCCUGCUUUGAUUCUUAUUCUAACCCUGGGCCGUUAGUUGGUUUCUACGAUAGCUGAAGUGUGUCCUUAAUGGAUAUGCUUUGGUUGAGUUUAUCGUGUUCAAGUGUUCAAUAUCGUUCUAGAAAUCAGCUACCGGUCCGGGGACAGUGCCUGGUGGGUAGUUUGACUGGGGCGGUCGCCUCCUAAAAGGCAACGGAGGCGUUUACUAAGGUAGGCUAGGUCCGGAUGGAAAUCGGACCGAUAGCGCAAAAGCACAAGCCUGCUUUACUGAAAGACCUAUACGUCAAUCAGUCACGAAAGUGGAAUUUAGUGAACCGACCAUCCCUCGUAGGAGGGUGGAAGAUCAACAGAUAAAAGUUACCCCGGGGAUAACAGGCUAAUCACUCCCAAGAGUCCACAUCGACGGAGUGGUUUGGCACCUCGAUGUCGGCUCAUCGCAUCCUGGGGCUGGAGAAGGUCCCAAGGGUUUGGCUGUUCGCCAAUGAAAGCGGUACGCGAGCUGGGUUCAAACCGUCGUGAGACAGGUUGGUCUCUAUCUACUGUAGGCGUCAUUACUUGAGAGGAGUCUUUCCUAGUACGAGAGGACCGGAAAGAACGAACCUCUGGUGUAUCGGCUGUUCUGCCAAGGGCACUGUCGAGUAGCUAUGUUCGGACCGGAUAACUGCUGAAAGCAUCUAAGCGGGAAGCCGACCUCAAGAUAAGGUAGUCGUUCCAAUUUAUUGGGACAAAAUAUCCUCGGAGACUACGAGGUUGAUAGGCUUCAGGUGGAAGCCCCGUGAGGGGUGGAGCCGAGAAGUACUAAUAUAUUUACGAAUCGCUCUU
rnacentral:rRNA from 1 species